rnacentral:rRNA from 1 species
GACGAACGCUGGCGGCGUGCUUAACACGUGCAAGUCGAACGGAAAGGCCCUGCUUUUGUGGGGUGCUCGAGUGGCGAACGGGUGAGUAACACGUGAGUAACCUGCCCUUGACUUUGGGAUAACUUCAGGAAACUGGGGCUAAUACCGGAUAGGAGCUCCUGCUGCAUGGUGGGGGUUGGAAAGUUUCGGCGGUUGGGGAUGGACUCGCGGCUUAUCAGCUUGUUGGUGGGGUAGUGGCUUACCAAGGCUUUGACGGGUAGCCGGCCUGAGAGGGUGACCGGCCACAUUGGGACUGAGAUACGGCCCAGACUCCUACGGGAGGCAGCAGUGGGGAAUAUUGCACAAUGGGCGGAGGCCUGAUGCAGCAACGCCGCGUGCGGGAUGACGGCCUUCGGGUUGUAAACCGCUUUCGCCUGUGACGAAGCGUGAGUGAUGGUAAUGGGUAAAGAAGCACCGGCUAACUACGUG